rnacentral:rRNA from 1 species
AUUGAACGCUGGCGGCAUGCCUUACACAUGCAAGUCGAACGGCAGCACGGGAGCUUGCUCCUGGUGGCGAGUGGCGAACGGGUGAGUAAUACAUCGGAACGUACCCAGUAGUGGGGGAUAACGCACCGAAAGGUGCGCUAAUACCGCAUACGACCUAAGGGUGAAAGCGGGGGACCGUAAGGCCUCGCGCUAUUGGAGCGGCAGAUGUCUGAUUAGCUAGUUGGCGGGGUAAAGGCCCACCAAGGCGACGAUCAGUAGCUGGUCUGAGCGGACGAUCAGCCACACUGGGACUGAGACACGGCCCAGACUCCUACGGGAGGCAGCAGUGGGGAAUUUUGGACUAUGGGGGCAACCCUGAUCCAGCAAUGCCGCGUGUGCGAAGAAGGCCUUCGGGUUGUAAAGCACUUUUGUCAGGGAAGAAAUCUUUUGGGCUAAUACCCCGGAAGGAUGACGGUACCUGAAGAAUAAGCACCGGCUAACUACGUGCCAGCCGCCGCGGUAA